AAAUCUACAGAAAGAAUCAACGCGUCUCACUAUUGUGUACAGAAUAUAUUGUACACUUAUAGAGGCAUGAAUAAUAAGUCUGAUUCUCAAAACCGGAUGAGGCUUUAUGCGAAGCGCAUAAAAAAGAAAUUGAUACGAUACAGAAAAUUUGGAAACACGAAUGAAUACCGCCGUAUAUGUAAACAUAUGAAAUGUAUACAUGUAAAUGUAUUAAACAAAUAUGUAUAUAUCGCUGUACAGAUAACUGUAAAUAGAACAGAAUAAAUGUAAAUUUACAAAAAUUA